rnacentral:rRNA from 1 species
AUAAUAAAGAUUUAUCGGUAAAAGAUGGGCAUGCGUAUCAUUAGCUAGUUGGUGUGGUAACGGCAUACCAAGGCUACGAUGAUUAGGGGUCCUGAGAGGGAGAUCCCCCACACUGGUACUGAGACACGGACCAGACUCCUACGGGAGGCAGCAGUGAGGAAUAUUGGUCAAUGGAGGCAACUCUGAACCAGCCAUGCCGCGUGCAGGAUGACGGUCCUAUGGAUUGUAAACUGCUUUUGUACGGGAAGAAAUGUAAUUACGUGUAAUUAUUUGACGGUACCGUAAGAAUAAGGAUCGGCUAACUCCGUGCCAGCAGCCGCGGUAAUACGGAGGAUCCGAGCGUUAUCCGGAAUUAUUGGGUUUAAAGGGUUCGUAGGCGGUUUAGUAAGUCAGUGGUGAAAUCUUGCAGCUUAACUGUAAAAUUGCCGUUGAUACUGCUAAACUUGAAUAGUAUGGAAGUAAUUAGAAUAUGUAGUGUAGCGGUGAAAUGCUUAGAUAUUACAUGGAAUACCAAUUGCGAAGGCAGAUUACUACGUACUUAUUGACGCUGAUGAACGAAAGCGUGGGUAGCGAACAGGAUUAGAUACCCUGGUAGUCCACGCCGUAAACGAUGGAUACUAGCUGUUCGGUCUUCGGAUUGAGUGGCUAAGCGAAAGUGAUAAGUAUCCCACCUGGGGAGUACGUUCGCAAGAAUGAAACUCAAAGGAAUUGACGGGGGCCCGCACAAGCGGUGGAGCAUGUGGUUUAAUUCGAUGAUACGCGAGGAACCUUACCAAGGCUUAAAUGUAGAUUGACAGGUUUAGAGAUAGACUUUCCUUCGGGCAAUUUACAAGGUGCUGCAUGGUUGUCGUCAGCUCGUGCCGUGAGGUGUCAGGUUAAGUCCUAUAACGAGCGCAACCCCUAUUGUUAGUUGCCAGCGGGUGAUGCCGGGAACUCUAACAAGACUGCCGGUGCAAACCGUGAGGAAGGUGGGGAUGACGUCAAAUCAUCACGGCCCUUACGUCUUGGGCUACACACGUGCUACAAUGGCCAGUACAGAAAGCAGCUACCAGGCAACUGGAUGCGAAUCUCAAAAGCUGGUCUCAGUUCGGAUUGGAGUCUGCAACUCGACUCUAUGAAGCUGGAAUCGCUAGUAAUCGGAUAUCAGCCAUGAUCCGGUGAAUACGUUCCCGGGCCUUGUACACACCGCCCGUCAAGCCAUGGAAGCUGGGGGUACCUGAAGUCGGUCGCCGC